rnacentral:rRNA from 1 species
GACGAACGCUGGCGGCGUGCUAAACACAUGCAAGUCGAACGGAAAGGCCCUGCUUUUGUGGGGUGCUCGAGUGGCGAACGGGUGAGUAACACGUGAGUAACCUGCCCUUGACUUUGGGAUAACUUCAGGAAACUGGGGCUAAUACCGGAUAGGAGCUCCUGCUGCAUGGUGGGGGUUGGAAAGUUUCGGCGGUUGGGGAUGGACUCGCGGCUUAUCAGCUUGUUGGCGGGGUAGUGGCUUACCAAGGCUUUGACGGGUAGCCGGCCUGAGAGGGUGACCGGCCACAUUGGGACUGAGAUACGGCCCAGACUCCUACGGGAGGCAGCAGUGGGAAAUAUUGCACAAUGGGCGGAAGCCUGAUGCAGCAACGCCGCGUGCGGGAUGACGGCCUUCGGGUUGUAAACCGCUUUCGCCUGUGACGAAGCGUGAGUGACGGUAAUGGGUAAAGAAGCACCGGCUAACUACGUG